rnacentral:lncRNA from 1 species
UCCAGAUCUGACCCCUGAUUGCUCCUCAUCCUGUUCCUCCUCCCCCAUGUCUCCAAGAAGAUGAUUAAUUUUAAAGGAAAGAAAAUUAGAACAUUGUGAAUAAGAGAAAAUCAUGAGCCGGCAAAGAGGUUCAUGUACCCAAACUGCAUUUUGUAUGUUUAUGUUGCCCACUGAUAUUCCUUCUUUGGAUAUAUGCCCAAAUAAAGCCAAUUCAGGAGAACAGGGCUUAUUGCAAUUUAUAAUUGUGAAGCAAUUAACAUACCAGGAGUAUGAAGCACCUGGUCCCAUGUCUCCAUGAUCAGAAACAAAACACUGAACACAUGUUCCUGCUCGAUUCCCUUUCUCGAUUUUCACAGUCAAUAAUCUGAGCCAUGAAGAGGCACGGAAUAUAGUAGUGAGCCUCCCCCACCUCAAUCAAGCAAAACAAUAUAAUUCUUCAUAGGCAAGUUAAAAAUCUCAUCUCCAGGGUGAUUCUAGAUUCUGUCAUUUGGCAAAAGCAUACUAACAAUAGCAUCUACUUUGGUAUUUUGCCUAUCUAUUGAAUUAAAAUUGUAAAAUUUCACUGAUCAUUGACUUUAUGAUGAUGAUUUCUCUAUUAUUAAAGCUGAUACAUGCAAAGUCAUACUCUACCAAUAUUUCUGUCAUUGUGUAGUUCCACCCAGAUGACCAUCCAUCGAUUCUGAGAGAGCUGGCUGGUUGACUUGUUGCUAAAAUAUUCAGACAUCCUUUAGCCUGGGUUAAUAUGUGAAUAAAUAUAAUAUGAGUUUACAAAGAACAACGUUUUUAUUUUCCCCUCCACACAAUUUAAAAUUUAUGUCUGUUUGAGGAGGAGAUAGAGAGAUCAGUAGCUAGCUCAUUAUUCUGGAUGUUUAAAAAGUCUGAUCUCUUCUCCAACAGAGAUAUCAACAUGACUCAGACACAGUUUGGUGGACUUUUUCAGACUCCAGACAUCUGCCAGU